rnacentral:rRNA from 1 species
CUCUGUGACUCCUACGGGAGGCAGCAGUGGGGAAUAUUGCACAAUGGGGGAAACCCUGAUGCAGCCAUGCCGCGUGUGUGAAGAAGGCCUUCGGGUUGUAAAGCACUUUCAGUAGGGAGGAAGGUAGUGUAGUUAACACCUGCAUUAUUUGACGUUACCUACAGAAGAAGCACCGGCUAACUCCGUGCCAGCAGCCGCGGUAAUACGGAGGGUGCGAGCGUUAAUCGGAAUUUACUGGGCGUAAAGCGCAUGCAGGCGGCCUGUUAAGUCAGAUGUGAAAGCCCGGGGCUUAACCUCGGAAUUGCAUUUGAAACUGGCAGGCUAGAGUCUUGUAGAGGGGGUAGAAUUUCAGGUGUAGCGGUGAAAUGCGUAGAGAUCUGAAGGAAUACCAGUGGCGAAGGCGGCCCCCUGGACAAAGACUGACGCUCAGAUGCGAAAGCGUGGGGAGCAAACAGGAUUAGAUACCCUGGUAG